rnacentral:rRNA from 1 species
ANUUACCCGCUGAAUUUAAGCAUAUCAAUAAGCGGAGGAAAAGAAACUAACAAGGAUUCCCCUAGUAACGGCGAGUGAAGAGGGAAGAGCCCAAGAUUGAAAGCUGGCGUCUUCGGCGUCCGCAUUGUAAUCUCAAGAAGUGUUUUCCGCUUCGGACCAAGCCUAAGUCCCCUGGAAAGGGGCAUCAUAGAGGGUGAUAAUCCCGUACAUGGCUUGGAGCGCCCGAGGCUUUGUGAUACGCUUUCUAAGAGUCGAGUUGUUUGGGAAUGCAGCUCAAAAUGGGUGGUAAAUGCCAUCUAAGGCUAAAUAUUGGGGAGAGACCGAUAGCGAACAAGUACAGUGAUGGAAAGAUGAAAAGAACUUUGAAUGAGAGA